rnacentral:sRNA from 1 species
GCUAAGCACCCGGGCUCUUCUGGGGGCUCCAGGUGAGCGGGGGCACAGAGGGGUCAGGGAGACCGCCCUCGAGGUGGGGCUGUCGGUCUGACCGCGGGUCCAUCUGUCCUGCCGUCCGCCCACAGCCUCCUCCGCAGGAUGGGAGAACAAAGGGAAGGGGCGGUUCUGGGGCCCCCGAGGGAAUCCCGGGUCGCAGGUACCCAGUCCCGCCCACUGACACUUGGGUUUCUCCCCGAGUCAUAGGCGCCGCCCAAGAGACCCUGGGCCGGCGCCGGGCGCAGCUGCCUCUCCGUCUUUGUGUCUCUCUCUGUGUCUGUCUGGCUAUCUCCGAGUUUGCCUCCGCUUCCAGAACUAAGCCACCCAGACACCAUCAUCCCGAAAACCCCAGCCCUUCUCCCAUGGCAGGUAAGUGCGCACAAGUCCGGGGUCUCCGUUAUCCCCCCACGGACUUGGGAGCCGAGUUUGAACACAUCCUCCCGGAACGUGCUCGGACUGGCUGGGUGGGGCCCCUCCCUUCCUUCCGGGGAACCUCCACCCUGCUCCCCUGCCCCAUCUUUCUCUGCCUCUUGCCACCACGUUUCCUCCGAAGCCUCGCGGUCCAUGGGCUGAGGAAUAAGGGGAUGAGGCCUUGGGUCCCUUUCUAAUCUAUCCUGCCCCCACCGCUUUACAGGCUACUUGCCCCCCAAAGGCUACGCCCCUUCGCCCCCACCUCCCUACCCUGUCACCCCUGGGUACCCGGAGCCGGCGCUACAUCCUGGGCCCGGGCAGGCGCCAGUGCCCGCCCAGGUACCUGCCCCAGCUCCCGGCUUCGCCCUCUUCCCCUCGCCCGGCCCCGUGGCCUCGGGGUCUGCUGCCCCCUUCUUGCCACUGCCAGGGGUGCCUUCUGGCCUCGAAUUCCUGGUGCAGAUUGAUCAGAUUUUGAUUCACCAGAAGGCUGAGCGAGUGGAAAGUAAGUAGAAGCAGUGGGAGGUUGGACCUCAUGGUGGUGGCCUGGAUGGUGGGCUCCUGGGCGCGCGAGGCUCUAUAAAUCUCCCCGUGUCACCCCUGGCAGCGUUCCUAGGCUGGGAGACCUGUAACCGGUAUGAACUGCGCUCUGGGGCCGGGCAGCCCCUGGGUCAGGCGGCCGAGGAGAGCAACUGCUGCGCCCGUCUGUGCUGUGGCGCCCGCCGGCCGCUGCGUGUCCGCCUGGCCGACCCCGGGGACCGCGAGGUGCUGCGUUUGCUCCGCCCGCUGCACUGUGGCUGCAGCUGCUGUCCCUGUGGCCUCCAGGAGAUGGAAGUACAGGCUCCACCAGGCACCACCAUUGGCCACGUGCUACAGACCUGGCAUCCCUUCCUCCCCAAGUUCUCCAUCCAGGAUGCCGAUCGCCAGACAGUCUUGCGAGUGGUGGGGCCCUGCUGGACCUGUGGCUGUGGCACAGACACCAACUUUGAGGUGAAGACUCGGGAUGAAUCCCGCAGUGUGGGCCGCAUCAGCAAGCAGUGGGGGGGCCUGGUCCGAGAAGCCAUCACGGCUGCAGAUGACUUCGGCCUACAGUUCCCGCUGGACCUGGAUGUGAGGGUGAAGGCUGUGUUGCUGGGAGCCACUUUCCUCAUUGACUACAUGUUCUUUGAGAAGCAAGGAGGCGCUGGGCCCUCUGCCAUCACCAGUUAGAGGCCCCUAUGGUGUGAGGAGACCAUCACCUCGACCAGAACUCCAGAUGGUCACCUGCCCUGGCCCCUCCUCUGGGCAGCCCCUUUCCCCCAUGUACACUGCAGGGGACAGAAGGGGGACCCCAUCCCUACCCUACUCCCUGGCCGCCUGCCCCUGUGGUCCCCAAGGAGGGGUAUGUAUGAGAGCCCCUCUCCUGCUACCUCCCACCACUGUCCCAGCAGUCCCUCGGCACACAGGCAUAUCGGCUUUCACACUUUCCCCAUGCACUCCCUCCCACCCCUUUCCAGGGCCUCUGCUCCAAAGGAGGCCUCUGGAACCCAGGACUCUGGGGUUUUACAAGAGGGCUGGGGUGUGGAAGGGCAAGCUGCUGCACCAAAGACGGUGGAUAUAGCCACCGCCCCCGCCCCCCCGCCCCGCCGCUGCCUAGCAUCUCCUUGGCCAAUUAGUUCAGCCUCAGACCAUGGCACUUUGAGGGGGUCUCUACCUCCCCAUCAACAGCUGCAGGGGGACCCCAGUGCCAACUUCCUCUCCCACUAGGGCCCUGCCUUCAGCUGGUGCUUGCUGCGAUUCCUGUGCCUUAUGUAACUGCCCUUCCUUCCCUUGCCCUAGGAAAAAGGCUGCAUCUUUAUAUGUUACAUUCAUAUAAACUUUGUAACUUUUUGGACAUUG